rnacentral:ncRNA from 1 species
AAUGAGUUUUAUUCUUGCUUUUUCAUUCAAUUUAUGUUUGUUCUAUAUGUAAGUUUGUGCGUGGUUUUUGACAGUUCUAGAUGGGUUGUUAGGUAAUUUUUGUUCUCAUUAGUUAUUAUUGGUUGAUCAAGUAUUUUUGUAUCUAGUAAUAUAUUUUAGUUUCGGUUAAAUUUUGUGCCAGCAGCCGCGGUUAUACCUUGGAGGCGUUUGAAUGUGUUUGGCUUAUUGUAGUUGUAUUGUUUAUUUAGUUGAUGUUAUUUGAUUUAGUUUGUUGGGUGAAAUCUUUAUUUUUUGUAUUUGUCUUUUGUAAAUUUGUAGGCUGUGAAAUUCCUUUUAUAAACUAGGAUUAGAUACCCUAUUAUUUUGGAAUGUUAAGUUUUAUGUGCUUGAGUAGUAUUAGUUAUGUUCUUGAAACUUAAAGAAUUUGGCGGUAUCUCAUUCCGUUCAGAGGAAUCUGUCUCGUUAUCGAUAGUCCGCGUUGGACCUUGCUUGGAUUGCUUGUGGUUUGUAUACCGCCGUUUAUUGAUUAUCUUUUUAGGGUUAAGUAAUUUUCUGGUUUCUCUAUUUUGAUUUAUUUCAGGUCAAGGUGCAGCUUGUUUCUAAGUGUAUGAUGGAUUACAUUAUUAUUUGUUUUUGGAUUGUUGAUUUUAAUAUUAGCAUGAAAUUGGAUUUGGUUGUAAUAAUUUGUAGAUUGUUUUUAUGAUAUCGGUUUUGGGAUAUGUACACAUCGCCCGUCGCUCUCGUUCAGAAUUCAUUAAUGAGAUAAGUCGUAACAAAGUGGUUGUACCGGAAGGUGCAGCUGGAUUGAG